GAGCAGUGAAGAAUUCUUGUUUGUGAUGGUUGGGUCCAUCACCACCGUCUGAUUCUUCGGACGAAAUACCAACGCAUCAGAGCUC